GUUCCUUCACACACACACACACACACACAGUGAAGAGGAGCAGCUUGUGUUUAUGGUGUAAACUCCGUGUUAUUAACAGGACUGAUUCCCGUCAUGGCGGUGAGUGUAAAGCGCAAACAGGAGGAGAAACACCUACAGCUGCUGCGUGAGAUGACCAGCGGGGCCGCCAACCGGAAAUGUUUCGACUGUGAGCAGCGCGGCCCGACAUACGUCAACAUGACCGUGGGCUCGUUCGUGUGUACCACCUGCUCCGGCAUCCUACGAGGCCUGAACCCUCCACACAGAGUGAAGUCCAUCUCAAUGACGACAUUCACACAGCAGGAGAUUGAGUUCCUACAGAAACACAGCAAUGAGGUGUGUAAGCACAUCUGGCUUGGACUGUAUGAUGAUCGCAGUGCUGCAGUGCCGGAUUUUCGAGAGCCUCAGAAACUGAAGGAGUUUCUGCAGGAGAAAUACGAGAAGAAACGAUGGUACGUUCCUCCCGAGCAGGCGAAGAUGUUGGCAUCUGUCCAGGUUCCACACUCAGGAUCUUCAGCGAGCACCAGCAGCACUCCUGAAGUUCAGCCACUUAAAACACUGCAGCUCAACAAAACUCCAUCCAGCCAGUCCCCAGUGAUCAGUCGUUCUCAGCCUCAUGAGAAGAAGUUUGAUCUGUUAUCAGAUCUAGGUGGAGAUAUCUUUGCAGCUCCUCCAUCGCACAGCGCUGGUCCAACAACAAACUUUGCUAACUUUGCACAUUUCAGCAAGCCCUCAGGAGGGGGUGUGUCAGCUCCACCUUUACCCAGUGUUUCAGCAGCAGAUCGAUACGCUGCUCUGGCAGAACUGGACAGUGCUCUCAGCUCCACUACACAGGGCUCCACAGCCGUUCCAGCCCCGCCGGUGAUUCCCAGCAUGCAGCAGGGUUUUACAGCUUCCACAAAUCCGUUUGUCGCUGCACCGAUUCCUCUAGAGUCGAUGUGUACAAAUCCAUUCCAGACCAACAACAGAUCAUCAUCAGCUACAGGCUCCAUGAGCAUGCCGUCAGGUUUCAGUAACACCCCCAGUUUCUGCCUGCCCACCAGUUUCAGUGGGAAUUUCCCCCACCCGUUUCCCCCGGCGUCGUACCAUCAGCAGCCAAACGGUGGGUUUCCUGUUUACACUCAGAAACCUCAGAUGAGUUACGGUCAGCCCGCCGUCUCCAACAACCCCUUUAUGGUGAGCACUUACACUCAUUUAUUUUACUCGUGAGUUCAGUCCGGUCUGAAUCGCUCCGCCAAUACAGUCACCAUGGCAACAGAUAAAGCCACAGCAGCAUUAUUUGGAAUAGUUGUGAUACUUUAUUUUUUGUGGGGGAUUUUUUUUUAAAUAAAUCAGAAUGUGAAUAUUUUAAAUCAGAUUCAUUAAUACAUGUUUGGAGGCGAUGAACUUCUGUUUGUUUUAGCGUUUAUUUAUAUUAAUUACUUUAUUGUGAUUAAUUCAUUAAAUAAUAAGAUUUUUAUGAAGUUUUAUUUAAUUAUUAUUUAAGUUUUUACCUUUUUACAUAUUUUUUAUUUAAAUUAUUUACUGGAAUUUUAUGUAAAAAAUGUGUUUAUCUGUUUAUUUAGUUGAGAGCUUCAUCUCGACACAUUUCCCUGAUGUGCUGUUUCUACUGAUGAACAGGGUGGAGGUCCAGCAAGUCCAUAUUCCACCAGUGGAUCAUCUACUAAUCCGUUCCUGUAAACACACACACACACUUUAUAUUUACAGACACAUCUGGAGAAAGCGGCGUGUUCAGUGUUCCUCGCUGUGUUCAGCCCACGUUGAGUGCAGGUCGAGCUCAGUGUCUUCCUCCAAAUCCUCGCUCAGCUCCUGUAACGCUCCACAUCCACAGUCCAUCCUAUUUAUGGCUUUCACUCAGUAAUUAAUAAUAACAGUGUCUUAGGCCUAGCAGUUCAGUGCUUAUUGCUGUUUGUUAAGUUUAUAAAGAAGCGUUCUUUAUGAUUUAAAAGAAAAUGUUGAGAAGCUGAUUUGAAGCAGCAGUUCGGCCAGAAAUGAAAACGUCCACGAUGUUCCUCUGUUCCUCCGGUCGCUUUUACAAGUGUUGGUCUUUUCAGAUUCAGCUAGAGGGUGUGGCCUAAAGUCUAAAGGCGGAGCUUGUACAUUUUUUUUAUUUGAUUUGAUUUAAUAUAAAUACUAAAAUAUUAAAAGGUAAGUAAACACAAAGCCUUGUAGCUCUAAUGGUAAAAGGACAGUGUGGAUUUUAUCUUUGGCUGAAGCCAACACUCUGAUAGGUGUUUAAUCCACUGACUGGAGCAGAAGGAGGAGGUUUAGAAUGAAAAGAAACUCAGCACAAAGCAGAGGGAGAGAAAAAGAAAAGGAUGGAGCACAAAUAGAGACAGAAGUAAAGAGUUUGGAUCUGCAGGAGCUUCCUGUGUGAGAUCUUCCUCUGGGAAAGUGUGUGUAUAUAAAUAUAAAUAUAUGUAUAAUUAUUAUAUUAAAGAUUUUUAACUACUGUUCCA